GCCGAUGUGGUGGAAUUGGUAGACACGCUGUCUUGAGGGGGCAGUGGCGUAAGCCGUGCCGGUUCGAGUCCGGCCAUCGGCACCA
rnacentral:tRNA from 2 species